ensembl:lncRNA
UGUCUAUGUGCCCGUGUGUGCAAACUUGUAAAGUUAUGGUGUCAUUGUUUAGGUCUUCGCAAUUAGGGCGUUGUUAGUCUGUCCAACUGUUACCAUGGGAGAUCAUGACCUCAUGUCCUGAGGGGCUAUGAGUGGUGUCUGAGUGCUGGUGAAGUUUGGAGAGGAGCUAAUGAGAGAUCCUAUCUGCCUGCUGUUCAACUGAGCUCCCAAUUAAUCAACGGCUCCCUCUCUCGCUCUUUUUUUUCCCCGUCUGUAGGGGUGUAUUACUGAUACUUUUCCCCCUAUUGUUGUGUAAGCCUGUGACCGUGUGUGUGCAUGUGCAGCUCUAUUUGGGAGGCAGCCAUUACCGAGAACAAAAGACAUUAAUUGGCAGUUAGAGCUUAAUGAGGCGGGAGAGGAAAUUAACAGAGCUCGUCAACAGAAACAAAUCAAAUCCUCCACUGAAUUGAUGCAGAGUCGCUGCCACUAACCAUCCACUGCUACAAUAAAGAAUGGCUCAUCUUAGACCCCAGCUUUUUCCACUCUCAUAGCCCUGCUUUGCAAUUCAUGGCAAAACUAAGAAGCAGGGAUUGUGAUUAAGGAAUCAAGCCUGUCUGCAUUAGCAUGUGAAUAGACCGGGUCCUGAGAGCUCAGCCAGAGCCGGGAAGGAGAUUGGGAGGAUAUUUAGCAUCUAUUCAGGGUGCAACAAAGGCAAGGCACCCAGGCGGACAGACAGCACAGACCUCGGGUUGAUUAGGUGGUGAAAAGCUAUUCUUACAUAUCAGACUCAAGUAGUAUUUUGUCUGAUGCUAGCUUAAAUCUCUAACAAUCCCUCUCAGAAGACAUGUACAUGUGAAAUCCACUGAGAAUUGAGGGUUUUAGGGCACAGACGAUUUUCUUUUCUUAUUUGUCAUUUUUAAUUGUUUAAUUGUGUGUAAAUGUUUCCCACAAUUUCUGUGUGUGUGUGUGUAUAUGUGUGUGUGUGUAUGUAUGUAUGUAUGUAUUAUAUAUAUAUAUAUAUAAUAUAUAUAUAAUAUUUUUUUAGAUGUGGGUGUGUCGUUUUUAUUUUUUAUUGUUACUUCAUUGUGUCUUUAUAAAGUUAAGUUGCCUCCAUUUGAGGAGUCAACCAAACAUAUCGAAAGGUUGUUUAAACUUGUGUGUGACGCCAUAAAAUAUAGAGGGGACAUUUUAAUUUAUUUUAGUUUAUUUUUCCUUUGCAAACACAAGUGGAAUUGUUUAAGGCAUUUUCAGCUCUCCAGUUCAUGUGUCACACAUUGUGUUCCACUCUCCAGGUCACCAUUUGAGGUCUUUUAAAUCACUGUGACUAAAUAUUAAUCUGUAAAUAAUUUAGGUUUCGUUUUUAAUAAUGCUGUGUUCCCGGUCUUGUUAUCCAAGCCCUUUUCCUGCCAUAUGUCUCAGAGUAUUGAUCAGUCACUUACUACAUAAUAAAAAGCCUGUUAUAAAAUUACCUUAAAGGGGACAUAUGAUGCAAAAUUCACUUUUACAUGGUGUUUGCAUAUAUGUGUCUUAGCAGUGUGUAGACACAAACACCCUACAAUAAUAAUCCAUUCACUCCUUUUUUUAAGCCCCAAAAAGUAAUCAAGUAUUUUGAUUUUCUGAGUAAUAUGAUGUCAUGUUGCACAAGCCCC